CCGUGCGCUGGAUUAUGAC
rnacentral:snRNA from 1 species